CCACAACCAGAUCCGCCGCCCACCCCGACUCACUCCUCGUCCCAUCCACCCGCUGCUGUUGGCCUCCUACGUUGCCCGCAUCCAGCCGCCCAGCCUCUGCCUCGCCCGCAUCCAAUCGUGCAGUGUUGUGCCGCUUCGUCUCGCUGCGGGGAGGAGCUUGAGAAGUGCCAUCUUCAUCCUCAUCCAAGGGAAGAAGCGCCGGGGACCGAGCGAGCUGUGCAUCCCGCGUCGUGGUCCAGAUCCGGGGCCCCGAGGCGGCGCACUUCCUCAACUCGCUCCUCACCAACGACAUGCUCUCCCACGCCUCGUUGUCCCAGCCGCAGAGGUACGCUCCCACGCCCAACCUACCCGCGCGGGCGCCGCCGCCGCGGUACACCGCACUGCUCACACCAUAGGACCGGUUCCUCUACAACCUCUUCCUCUACCAUCCCGCCCCGCGCUCCCACAUGCUCGACCACACCGGGUCCGCGCCGCAGACCGGGGAGAGGCCCGGCUGGGAGGAGGAUGGGGACGGGGAGGUGCUCGCGGAUGUUGACGCCGCUGAGGUCGACGAGCUCCUUGCCUGCUUCAAGAGGUGAAGUGUCCAGCUAUGUUUCAUGAUGAUUAUGCAGUAAUGCUCCUCUUCUUCCUCGACCACCUGAACCACCACGCCGGCGGGCUCCUGAAGCAUCAACUUCAGUAAUGUAGCAGCAUGGGCGAGUUGAGGUGGGGGACAGAGAGGCUGUGUCGUGCGGGUUCUGACCAUUGUAUAGCAGCACACUUUCCAGUGUCGAUCUGAGCAAACGAUGAUGCAAGGCUGCUCCUCCUUGUACUGCAUGUCGACUUGAAUCUUUGACAGGGAGAUAUUUAAACCCUAACAUGCUUAUGAGUUCAGCAUAUGCGCUGUGUUAUGUUCGGCUUCUUAUGUGUCAUGGACAUGUCCUUGUGUUGCAUAGUAGGCCCUGAAUUGUUCAUGUUGCCGGCGAUGAGAUGACAUGCUUAUGAAUUAUUCAUGUUGCUUCCUAUGUAAGCUUGCUAAUGAAUAUGAUUGACUUAUUGAAACUGAUGUCAAUGCACUUGCACACGGUUUUGCACCUGAUGCUGGUUUUGCGCCGAUGCUGGUUUUGCCUGGAUGUGCAGCAGUCGUCUUGUUUGAUUGUUAAUUGCUGGGUGCUGGCUGGCGUACAAUUUAAUUUGUCUGCAUGGUUCCUUAGUGCAGCAGCACUUGGCAAUGUGUAGCAGUGAGUGCACUCGCUAGUUAGCCCACUUAGCAUUAGUAUGAUAUUGAAAGACUAUUGUGCCUCCUUACGAGAGAGUUACUGUGUUAUUUUUACCUUACCAGACCAUGAUGGCCUGUACUAUUGCAUUGUGUUAUUUCUACCUUACGAGACCCCAGGCACUGUGUGUAAUUCUCAUGUAUGUGCUGCAGGGCUUGGGGACGUUGGUUGGGCAAAAAUUGUUGGUGAUUGCGCUAGCUGAAGAAAAGGACGAUGACCUGUCGUUGCUUGAACUCAUGGGUGUGGAGGACGGGAUGCUGCUAUUAGCGACUGUGAAGAACUUUACACUCUGCCCAUGGUCAAUGGAGGCUGGUCCCAGCAAAACUGCAGUAUGGGCGCGACAAAGGGUUGUCGAGCUCAAACCGUUGCUCCCUGCUAGUUCCCUCAUUGGCGUGUGGGUCGCUGGUUUUGUAGAAGGUGUUGGUGUCAUCUUACUGAGUACAAAUUCUGGGCUGUACACAGUUGAGCUCAGUUCAGGCCGAAGCAAGAAGGUGCACGGGGAGACAUUUUUCAGAGAAGUCAUGCCCUACACGAGCUUCUACACUUGAGAUAUUUUGCCUAAAUUCAAGACGAAAGAAGAUGUUCAAAGAAGCGCCAAGACAUUUUUGUAUAGCAAGUUAUGUAAUAAUAGCUAGGUUAUUUGGGCAUUGUGAACUCCAUAAUUUCAUGUAUCUUCUCUCUGUUUUUGAAUGAAAUGUUGUAUGUGUGUUGAUGUACCA